UACGUAGGGGGCUAGCGUUGUCCGGAUUUAUUGGGCGUAAAGAGCUCGUAGGCGGUCUGUCGCGUCCGUUGUGAAAACUCGAGGCUCAACCUCGGGCUUGCAGUGGAUACGGACAGACUAGAGUGCGGUAGGGGAGACUGGAAUUCCUGGUGUAGCGGUGGAAUGCGCAGAUAUCAGGAGGAACACCGAUGGCGAAGGCAGGUCUCUGGGCCGCAACUGACGCUGAGGAGCGAAAGCAUGGGGAGCGAACAGG
rnacentral:rRNA from 1 species